rnacentral:rRNA from 1 species
UACGGAGGAUCCAAGCGUUAUCCGGAUUCAUUGGGUUUAAAGGGUGCGUAGGCGGAAUUGUAAGUCAGUGGUGAAAUCCCUUCGCUUAACGAAGGAACUGCCAUUGAUACUGCAAAUCUUGAGUACAUUUGAUGAGGGCGGAAUGUGUCAUGUAGCGGUGAAAUGCUUAGAUAUGACACAGAACACCGAUUGCGAAGGCAGCUCUCAAAACUGUAACUGACGCUGAGGCACGAAAGCGUGGGUAUCAAACAGG